AACGAACGCUGGCGGCAGGCCUAACACAUGCAAGUCGAGCGGAUGAAGGGAGCUUGCUCCUGGAUUCAGCGGCGGACGGGUGAGUAAUGCCUAGGAAUCUGCCUGGUAGUGGGGGAUAACGUCCGGAAACGGGCGCUAAUACCGCAUACGUCCUGAGGGAGAAAGUGGGGGAUCUUCGGACCUCACGCUAUCAGAUGAGCCUAGGUCGGAUUAGCUAGUUGGUGGGGUAAAGGCCUACCAAGGCGACGAUCCGUAACUGGUCUGAGAGGGAUGAUCAGUCACACUGGAACUGAGACACGGUCC
rnacentral:rRNA from 1 species